rnacentral:rRNA from 2 species
CAUUGGAUCCAGACUUUGACCCUGGCUCAGGAUGAACGCUGGCGGCGUGCCUAAUACAUGCAAGUCGAACGAAACUUCUUUAUCACCGAGUGCUUGCACUCACCGAUAAAGAGUUGAGUGGCGAACGGGUGAGUAACACGUGGGCAACCUGCCCGAAAGAGGGGGAUAACACUUGGAAACAGGUGCUAAUACCGCAUAACCAUGAAUACCGCAUGGUAUUUAUGUGAAAGGUGGUUUCGGCUACCGCUUUCGGAUGGGCCCGCGGCGCAUUAGCUAGUUGGUGGGGUAAAGGCUUACCAAGGCAAUGAUGCGUAGCCGAACUGAGAGGUUGAUCGGCCACAUUGGGACUGAGACACGGCCCAAACUCCUACGGGAGGCAGCAGUAGGGAAUCUUCCACAAUGGGCGAAAGCCUGAUGGAGCAACGCCGCGUGGGUGAAGAAGGUCUUCGGAUCGUAAAACCCUGUUGUCAGAGAAGAAAGUGCAUGAGAGUAACUGUUCAUGUUUCGACGGUAUCUGACCAGAAAGCCACGGCUAACUACGUGCCAGCAGCCGCGGUAAUACGUAGGUGGCAAGCGUUAUCCGGAUUUAUUGGGCGUAAAGGGAACGCAGGCGGUCUUUUAAGUCUGAUGUGAGAGCCUUCGGCUUAACCGGAGUAGUGCACUGGAAACUGGGAGACUUGAGUGCAGAAGAGGAGAGUGGAACUCCAUGUGUAGCGGUGAAAUGCGUAGAUAUAUGGAAGAACACCAGUGGCGAAGGCGGCUCUCUGGUCUGUAACUGACGCUGAGGUUCGAAAGCGUGGGUAGCAAACAGGAUUAGAUACCCUGGUAGUCCACGCCGUAAACGAUGAAUGCUAAGUGUUGGAGGGUUUCCGCCCUUCAGUGCUGCAGUUAACACAAUAAGCAUUCCGCCUGGGGAGUACGACCGCAAGGUUGCAACUCAAAUGAAUUGACGGA